rnacentral:rRNA from 1 species
UAGGGAAUCUUCGGCAAUGGGGGGAACCCUGACCGAGCAACGCCGCGUGAGUGAAGAAGGUUUUCGGAUCGUAAAGCUCUGUUGUUAAGGAAGAACGAGUGUGAGAAUGGAAAGUUCAUACUGUGACGGUACUUAACCAGAAAGGGACGGCUAACUACGUGCCAGCAGCCGCGGUAAUACGUAGGUCCCGAGCGUUGUCCGGAUUUAUUGGGCGGAAAGCGAGCGCAGGCGGUUAGAUAAGUCUGAAGUUAAAGGCAGUGGCUCAACCAUUGUAGGCUUUGGAAACUGUUUAACUUGAGUGCAGAAGGGGGGAGUGGAAUUCCAUGUGUAGCGGUGAAAUGCGUAGAUAUAUGGAGGAACACCGGUGGCGAAAGCGGCUCUCUGGUCUGUAACUGACGCUGAGGCUCGAAAGCGUGGGGAGCGAACAGG